UCAACCUGUGUCGGGUCCUCCUGUCUGGAAACUCGUGACGCGGCCCCAGUUCUCUCUCCCACUGCGUGUCCGGUUUCUAGAGAAGCCAGUCAGUGUCACCGCCUUUCUGGUUAGAAAGUAUCCACGGACCGCCCGCACGCAGAUUGUCCCCGACGAUGCCCGUCAUGGGCUCCGGGACCCUCCUCCUGCUGCUCUCGGGGGCCCUGGGCCUGACGGGGACCCGGGCGGGCUCCCACUCCCUGAGGUAUUUCGACACCUCCUGGUCCCGGCCCGGCCGCCGGGAGCCCCGGUUCAUCGCCGUCGGCUACGUGGACGGCACGCAGUUCGUGCGGUUCGACAGCGACGCGGCGAGUCCGCGGAUGGAGCCGCGGGCGACGUGGAUGGAGGGGCCGUGGGUGGAGCAGGCGAUGCCGGGGUACUGGGACCGGAACACGCAGGUCUGCAAGGACAACGCACAGACUGACCGAGUGAACCUGAACACCCUGCGCGGCUACUACAACCAGAGCGAGGCCGGGUCUCACACCAUCCAGUGGAUGUCCGGCUGCGACGUGGGGCCGGACGGGCGCCUCCUCCGCGGGUACGAGCAGGUCGCCUACGACGGCGCCGACUACAUCGCCCUGAACGAGGACCUGCGCUCCUGGACCGCGGCGGACACGGCGGCUCAGAUCACCCGGCGCAAGUGGGAGGCGACCGAUGUGGCGGAGCAGAUGAGGGGCUACUUUCAGGGCCUGUGCGUGGAGUCGCUCGGCAAAUACCUGGAGAAGGGGAAGGAGACGCUGCAGCGCGCAGCUCCCCCAAAGACAAACGUGACCCACCACCACACCUCUGACCGUGAUGUCACCCUGAGGUGCUGGGCCCUGGGCUUCUACCCUGCGGAGAUCACCCUGACCUGGCAGCGCGAUGGGGAGGACCUGACCCAGGACACGGAGCUCGUGGAGACCAGGCCUGCAGGGGACGGGACCUUCCAGAAGUGGGCAGCUGUGGGGGUGCCUUCUGGAGAGGAGCAGAGAUACACGUGCCAUGUGCAGCACGAGGAGCUGCCCGAGCCCCUGACCCUGAGAUGGGAGCCGCCUCCUCAGGCCGCCAUCCCCGCUGGCAUGGUGGUGGGCAUCAUUGCUGGGCUGGUCCUCCUUGGAGCUGCGGUCACUGGAGCUGUGCUGUGGAGGAGGAGGUAGCGCUCAGGUGGAAAAGGAGGGAACUACGCUCAGGCUGCAGGCGGUGACAGUGCCCAGGGCUCUGAUGUGUCUCUCAUGGCUUCUAAAGCGUGAGACAGCUGCCUUGUGGGGACUGAGUCAUGCGAGAUUUGUUCCUGCCCCCACUUUGUGACACAGGAGCCUCUGAGCUCUCCUUCUGCAAAGGGCCUCUGAGUGUGUCUGCGUUCCUCUCCCAUCAUGUGAGGAGCUGGGAGACUGCCCGCCCCCUGCCCUCCACACCCCCUCCCCACACUGACCGAGUCUCUUCCCUGACCCACUGUCCUGUUCCCGCAGAGGCUGUUUCCAUCCCCGCCUUUGAUUAUGUUACACUGAGCAGCAACUUCUUACUUCCUAUUGAAAUAAGAAUCUGGAUAUGAAUUUGUUUUCUCAUAUCUUGCUAUGAACGGUUGAUGGGUUAAUUAAAGGACAAAAUCCUAAGUUUGAAGGGAAAUAAAUGGAAGCACUGAGAACCUUCCAGAAUCCA